GAUGAACGCUGGCGGCGUGCCUAAUACAUGCAAGUCGAGCGAACAGACGAGGAGCUUGCUCCUCUGACGUUAGCGGCGGGCGGGUGAGUAACACGUGGAUAACCUACCUAUAAGACUGGGAUAACUUCGGGAAACCGGAGCUAAUACCGGAUAAUAUAUUGAACCGCAUGGUUCAAUAGUGAAAGACGGUUUUGCUGUCACUUAUAGAUGGAUCCGCGCCGCAUUAGCUAGUUGGUAAGGUAACGGCUUACCAAGGCAACGAUGCGUAGCCGACCUGAGAGGGUGAUCGGCCACACUGGAACUGAGACACGGUCCAGACUCCUACGGGAGGCAGCAGUAGGGAAUCUUCCGCAAUGGGCGAAAGCUUGACGGAGCAACGCCGCGUGAGUGAUGAAGGUCUUCGGAUCGUAAAACUCUGUUAUUAGGGAAGAACAAAUGUGUAAGUAACUAUGCACGUCUUGACGGUACCUAAUCAGAAAGCCACGGCUAACUACGU
rnacentral:rRNA from 1 species